GCUAACUUCUAUAUCUGUCCUCCAACAUUUACACAAUAAAAGAUUGUAAAAAGUUUACUGAUAUUCUAAAAGACUAUGUUACAUUACCAGUCCUCCUUGAGAGCUCAUCUAGCAAAGUUCAAGCUCCCCUCUAUAAUCAUUUGAGCAGCAGUACCCAUAGCACCAACACCACUAGCUUCCAAAAGCGCGAGAGCUAAUACUUCUUCAUCGCACCGUUUCAAUCCCUUGCUCAGUCUCUUCAAAACUUGAAGGUCCACCUCAAGAAGCCAGCUUGGUGUGCAUCCUACUAUCAAGCUUACGAAUCCCGACACGUAUGCUCUCCAUGUAGCCUUGUUACAACCAAGUGAUAUUUUGCCAUCUAAGGCACUCGCAAGAAAUUCCAAGUGUGCUCCGAGCAUACUUGGUCGCCAUUUGGAUGUGGGUGAUGAUGAAUCCACCCCCCAACAAAAUGUUCCACACAGCACUGCUAAGUAUGCAAGGGCAUAACCCCUUAGCCUUGCAACCAUUCCUUCUGAGACACCACCGUUAGGCUCUGACCUAUGUGCUGAUAUAAACCAAGAUGGCAAUGUUUCUUUCAGCAA
rnacentral:misc_RNA from 1 species